rnacentral:misc_RNA from 1 species
AAAAGAAAAAGAAAAAGAAAAUUUCAAAUGAAAAAGCAUUAUGACAUCAUACAUUACCCAAGCAUGAUGCAAUAAAUUUUAAUUUUUAAAAUUUGAAAAGAGGGGAUAAUUACUUAAUUAAAAUAACCAAUAAAAAAAAUUAAGAGACAAAUUAAGUCUUCUUCUCUUCAUUGUAGCCGUCCCUCUCCUCUCUGUAACACCCCUAAGUUCGAUAGUGCGUUCUACUGCUCCAGUGACCAGUGCUAUCCGGACAGCUAGAAUGCCUAGAACUACACUUAAAUAUUGAUGAGGAGACAUAAAAUAAUGAAAU